rnacentral:rRNA from 1 species
GACGAACGCUGGCGGCGUGCCUAACACAUGCAAGUCGAACGGAAAGGCCCUGCUUGCCGGGUACUCGAGUGGCGAACGGGUGAGUAACACGUGGGUGAUCUGCCCUGCACUUCGGGAUAAGCCUGGGAGACUGGGUCUAAUACCGGAUAGGAGCCAUUUUUAGUGUGAUGGUUGGAGAGUUUUUUGGGUGUAGGGUGAGCUCGCGGCCUAUCAGCUUGUUGGUGGGGUAAUGGCCUACCAAGGCGGCAACGGGUAGCCGGACUGAGAGGGUGGAAGGCCACACUGGGACUGAGAGACGGCCCCGACGCCGACGGGAGGCAGCUGGGGGGAAGAUUGCACAAGGGGCGCAAGCCGGAUGCAGCGACGCCGCGUGGGGGAUGACGGCCUUCUGGUUGUAAACGCCUUUCGCUAGGGACGAAGCUUUUUGUGACGGUACCUAGAUAAUAAGCACCGGCUAACUACGUG